rnacentral:rRNA from 1 species
UACGGGGGGAGCAAGCGUUGUUCGGAUUUACUGGGCGUAAAGGGCGCGUAGGCGGCCAGCACAAGUCAGUUGUGAAAUCUCCGGGCUUAACUCGGAAAGGUCAACUGAUACUGUGCGGCUAGAGUGCAGAAGGGGCAACUGGAAUUCUCGGUGUAGGCGGAUGAAAUGCGUAGAUAUCGAGAGGAACACCUGCGGCGAAGGCGGGUUGCUGGGCUGACACUGACGCUGAGUGCGACGAAGCCAGGGGAGCGAACGGG